rnacentral:snRNA from 1 species
UACCAGCACUAAUGCACCG